rnacentral:lncRNA from 1 species
GGGGUGGACCAGUGUAUAUUUUCUAAUCACAGUUGUUAUCUGUUUAGGAUUUUAAUACAAUUGGAGAUAACUGCUGAACAAGCUGUCUUGAUUGUCUAAGUGGAGUUGGGAAAUUUUAUCUGAAUUUUUACUCAACAUUUUGUGAUUUCAUGGAAAAGAAAUCCAGGCAUGAGUGAAAUUCAAAGGCACUGAGCAUUCAGGGAGAAGCAACACCUAAUGUGGAACAGCAAGGACCGUGACUCCAGAGUCAGACUGGAAGAGUAAAGGCCUGGCUCUAGGGCAUCUACUAAUGACUUCGGUACAAGAUUCUAAGACUAAAAAUAGAUCCUGCUCUACUCCAUGGACUUUGUUUCAAUAUUUGUUUCCAUCCCAUUCACAAUCAAACAAGAGG